UACAGAGGUCCCAAGCGUUGUUCGGAUUCACUGGGCGUAAAGGGUGCGUAGGUGGUCAGGUAAGUUCGGUGUGAAAGCUCGGAGCUUAACUCCGAAAUGGCAUUGAAUACUAUCUGGCUAGAGGGUCGGAGGGGAGACUGGAAUUCUCGGUGUAGCAGUGAAAUGCGUAGAUAUCGAGAGGAACACCAGUGGCGAAGGCGAGUCUCUGGACGACUCCUGACACUGAGGCACGAAAGCCAGGGGAGCAAACAGG
rnacentral:rRNA from 1 species